AUAGUCAAAGCUGUCAGCAGUGAGAGGGAAACAGCUUGAUGUGUUGAGGACAGCUACAGUUCACUGACUCUGUGUGUUUGCAUAUGUGUCCUGCCUCUCUGCUCCCAGCCGUUAAGAGGCCAGUGUUGAUCAGUGGCUGUCCAGGCCUUUCAGAGACACAAUGAUGAUGUCACUGAUUCUACUGCUGGCCACCCUGGGGCUCCUUGUUCAGGAUUCAUCAGGAGAAAUCAUCCUUACUCAGUCUCCUGGAUCUCAGUCUGUUGUUCCAGGACAGACUGUCUCCAUCAAAUGUAAAGCCAGUUCAAGUGUUAGCUAUGACUUGCAGUGGUACCUUCAGAAACCUGGAGAAGCUCCUAAACUCCUGAUUUAUAAUGCUCAAUCCCGUCAGUCUGGAGUUUCUGAUCGUUUCAGUGGGAGUCAGUCUGGGACUGACUUCACUCUGACCAUCAGUGGAGUUCAGACAGCGGAUGCAGGAGUUUACUACUGUCAGCAGGAUAGCAGCUUCCCGUUCACACAGUGA